rnacentral:rRNA from 1 species
GAUGAACGCUAGCGGGAGGCCUAACACAUGCAAGCCGAGCGGUAUGAUUCUUUCGGGAAUCAGAGAGCGGCGUACGGGUGCGGAACACGUGUGCAACCUGCCUUUAUCUGGGGGAUAGCCUUUCGAAAGGAAGAUUAAUACCCCAUAAUAUAUUGAGUGGCAUCACUUAAUAUUGAAAACUCCGGUGGAUAGAGAUGGGCACGCGCAAGAUUAGAUAGUUGGUGGGGUAACGGCCUACCAAGUCGAUGAUCUUUAGGGGGCCUGAGAGGGUGAUCCCCCACACUGGUACUGAGACACGGACCAGACUCCUACGGGAGGCAGCAGUGAGGAAUAUUGGACAAUGGGUGCAAGCCUGAUCCAGCCAUCCCGCGUGAAGGACGACGGCCCUAUGGGUUGUAAACUUCUUUUGUACAGGGAUAAACCUAGAUACGUGUAUCUAGCUGAAGGUACUGUACGAAUAAGCACCGGCUAACUCCGUGCCAGCAGCCGCGGUAAUACGGAGGGUGCAAGCGUUAUCCGGAUUUAUUGGGUUUAAAGGGUCCGUAGGCGGAUCAGUAAGUCAGUGGUGAAAUCUCAUAGCUUAACUAUGAAACUGCCAUUGAUACUGCUGGUCUUGAGUAAGGUAGAAGUAGCUGGAAUAAGUAGUGUAGCGGUGAAAUGCAUAGAUAUUACUUAGAACACCAAUUGCGAAGGCAGGUUACUAUGUCUUAACUGACGCUGAUGGACGAAAGCGUGGGGAGCGAACAGGAUUAGAUACCCUGGUAGUCCACGCUGUAAACGAUGCUAACUCGUUUUUGGGUUUUCGGAUUCAGAGACUAAGCGAAAGUGAUAAGUUAGCCACCUGGGGAGUACGAACGCAAGUUUGAAACUCAAAGGAAUUGACGGGGGCCCGCACAAGCGGUGGAUUAUGUGGUUUAAUUCGAUGAUACGCGAGGAACCUUACCAAGGCUUAAAUGGGAAUUGAUCGGUUUAGAAAUAGACCUUCCUUCGGGCAAUUUUCAAGGUGCUGCAUGGUUGUCGUCAGCUCGUGCCGUGAGGUGUUAGGUUAAGUCCUGCAACGAGCGCAACCCCUGUCACUAGUUGCCAUCAUUAAGUUGGGGACUCUAGUGAGACUGCCUACGCAAGUAGAGAGGAAGGUGGGGAUGACGUCAAAUCAUCACGGCCCUUACGCCUUGGGCCACACACGUAAUACAAUGGCCGGUACAGAGGGCAGCUACACAGCGAUGUGAUGCAAAUCUCGAAAGCCGGUCUCAGUUCGGAUUGGAGUCUGCAACUCGACUCUAUGAAGCUGGAAUCGCUAGUAAUCGCGCAUCAGCCAUGGCGCGGUGAAUACGUUCCCGGGCCUUGUACACACCGCCCGUCAAGCCAUGGAAGUCUGGGGUACCUGAAGUCGGUGACCGUAAAAGGAGCUGCCUAGGGUAAAACAGGUAACUAGGGCUAAG